rnacentral:tRNA from 1 species
GCACCCUUAGCUCAACUGGAUAGAGUACCUGACUACGAAUCAGGCGGUCAGAGGUUCGACUCCUCUAGGGUGCA